rnacentral:rRNA from 1 species
CCUCAAAUCAGGUAGGACUACCCGCUGAACUUAAGCAUAUCAAUAAGCGGAGGAAAAGAAACUAACAAGGAUUCCCCUAGUAACUGCGAGUGAAGCGGGAAAAGCUCAAAUUUAAAAUCUGGCAGUUUCACUGUCCGAGUUGUAAUCUGGAGAAGCAUUUUCUGUGUUGGACCGUGUACAAGUCUCUUGGAAUAGAGCGUCAUAGAGGGUGAGAAUCCCGUCCAUGACACGGACUACCAAUACUUUGUGAUAUGCUCUCAAAGAGUCGAGUUGUUUGGGAAUGCAGCUCAAAAUGGGUGGUAAAUUCCAUCUAAAGCUAAAUAUUGGCGAGAGACCGAUAGCGAACAAGUACCGUGAGGGAAAGAUGAAAAGCACUUUGGAAAGAGAGUUAAACAGUACGUGAAAUUGUUGAAAGGGAAACACUUGAAGUCAGUCGCAUUGUCUUUGACUCAACCUGGCUAUAUGCUAGGUGUACUUCUUAGAUGAUGGGUCAACAUCAAUUUUGGUUGGUGGAUAAAGGUUGGAGGAAUGUGGCAUCUUAUGAUGUGUUAAGCCUUCAUUCGUAUACACUGGCUGGGAUUGAGGUCUGCAGCAUGCCUUUUUGGCCGGGGUUCGCCCACGUAACAUGCUUAGGAUGUUGGCAUAAU